UUUCUCGGCCUCCUUCCCAAAUAAGGCUUUCAAUAACAAACUUUCAUCUGCGUUCCGUGCCCCUAUGCUUGAUGUUAGUGGGUGUGAGAGCCCGAAACUCGGGUAUCUUCAAAACCGGAUUUCAGCACCCCACGAUGCUAGCCAUACAACAUAAGCUUAAGAUAUGAAUGUAAUUACUACAUUAUUACAAUAUGUUACUUCUAAUCCCAAGUUCUAUUACCUUUACAUCUUCGUAUCAUAAUAUUAACGAAUAUUACUUCAUUCAAAUAUUUAUAUUUCAACUUGUAAUGCUAUACAUUUAAGCUAGUAAUAUAGACAAACAAUAAAUAACUCAUAAAGAGUUGGAAAAAAAAAAGAUGGACUGUGGAAGUUCAUUAUAAAAUGUAAAUAAGAGUAGUUUAAAAAUAACUGUUAUUUGUUAUUUAUUUAACUUGUAUUAUGUAUUAAUCAAGUUAUUUAAUUGUGUAUAGGAUGGCCGGAGUCCAAGAGGAAGUAAUGAAUGAUGAGGAGCAGAACGCUCCAUAGCCCAUAGCACCAGUUCAGGUGGUCAUAGAAUUAGACCCUGAUCUUGUUGAAGAAGAUUAGGAGGACCCUGAGGAGGAGGUCAAUGAAGUACAUAAUGCUAAACCUCAACAGCAGGAUAUGGAGGAAGCAAUGAUCCAACUAGGAGCGAUGAUCCAUUAUCUGAUGGAUCAGAAUACGGAUUUGUUGGCCAAACUGCAAGUUUCUGAGAACCGGACCCAAUAUUUGGAGGGUUAGAUUUAAGGAUUACAAGAGGAUCGCCACGAAAUGGGAAAUAUUAUGACAGCAUCGGAUGGAUACAUCCACCACUUGAAGGGUCGUUUAGGUGAUUGUAGAAGGCAGAGGGAAAUGAUGAAUUGUCUCUAUAUAUACCACCUAAAUGCAAAGGGUUCAGACUGUUGUCUAAAAUCAUCCUCAAGAAGUAGGUCACUCCUAGGUAUUCCAUCUCGCGUGCUAGAGUCAUAGCAAUUACUGAAGAGGAGCGGGUUCGUUCCACCACUGCAGUACGAGAUAGGGAUACCUGAGUAUUUGUUUGGUGAUCUAUGUGAGACAUAUGUGUACAUAAAAUGACGUAAAUAUUGUAAAUGUGCUAGUAUAUGUAGAAUAUAAAUGUACCCCACUUUUGAUAGUAUCAUGGGGAUAUCUUUUGGAAUCCUAACCUGAUAAUGGUUAAGGAUUGAAAUAUAUAAACCUUUUGAUAACAAGGUAGAGAUAAGAUGUAAAUAGCAAAUGAAAAUGCUAUAGUAUGUAAUAGCCGGAGGAGCUAUUAAAGACAUAUAUGUUUGAGGCAUAUGUAAAAG
rnacentral:lncRNA from 1 species